UACGUAGGUGGCAAGCGUUGUCCGGAUUUACUGGGUGUAAAGGGCGUGUAGCCGGGCUGACAAGUCAGAUGUGAAAUUCCGGGGCUCAACCCCGGACCUGCAUUUGAAACUGUUGGUCUUGAGUAUCGGAGAGGCAGGCGGAAUUCCUAGUGUAGCGGUGAAAUGCGUAGAUAUUAGGAGGAACACCAGUGGCGAAGGCGGCCUGCUGGACGACAACUGACGGUGAGGUGCGAAAGCGUGGGGAGCAAACAGG
rnacentral:rRNA from 1 species